rnacentral:rRNA from 1 species
UACGUAGGGGGCAAGCGUUGUCCGGAAUCAUUGGGCGUAAAGAGCGCGUAGGCGGUCCGGUAAGUCGGUUGUGAAAACUGGGGGCUCAACCCUCAGAGGCCGACCGAUACUGCCGGGCUAGAGUCCGGAAGAGGCGAGUGGAAUUCCUGGUGUAGCGGUGAAAUGCGCAGAUAUCAGGAGGAACACCAAUGGCGAAGGCGGCUCUCUGGGGCGGUACUGACGCUGAGACGCGAAAGCGUGGGGAGCGAACAGG